UGUUUGCAUUAUUCUGCAGUUUGCAUACAAAAAAUGAAACCCAAAAGCAAUAAUGGUUGACCACCUCCUUUUUCUCUCUCUCUAUGAGAAAGACCUUUUGUUAGAUACUCUUAUAUGUUGGUUAGUGUUGCGCUCUUUCAUAAAUAUAAGUAAUUUGGGCGGAACCAUGUACAUUAAUAUUUUUUUUUUGUAAUGUGUAAAGAGUAUCUGAUAGUAGUUCUAUAUCACUUGGAAGAGCAUCAUAAUUUUUUUAAGUCGAUAGAAUUAAUUUACUUGUUUAUCUGAUUUAAUUUUUCUUUACAGGUGUUUAACAUAUUUCAUAAUGCUUGGUUAAACUUAAAUACUUAGGGGAUGUUUCCCUGUUUCUCCCUUGAAAAAACUAAACAUUUGCAAGCAUUUUUUACUAGUAAUAUCAUGAAUAUACAUAUACAUACAUACAUACAUAUAUUAAUUUCCAAAAUAUUUUCAAAAACUGUAAUAUCUAUUAUGAUUCAAACAAGUAUUUUCAUAUCAAUAAAUCAAUUACACAUUUAAUUAAAAAAAUUGUACGAAGGAAGUCAUGUCAAGGAAGAAAAUCAAUGGGCCUGGCGAACCGAAUUUACACCCCUAUCGUUCUUUACUUUUUUGUUUUCUUUCUUCAUUUUCCAUUUUUUUUUCUUUUCAGUGUCGUUUGAUUUUUUAAAUAGGCUCCAGUGUCAUGUAUUUGGUUAGCACGUUAUGAGCCAAGUCAAUACAUUCCCAUCUCUCAUGUGGAACAUUUCAACAUAAUUCCUUGUAAGGGUUCAAAUUUUUUUUUUUUGAUAAUUAUGACGCAUGUGUGAGGUCAACACGCCACGUGUACAUAUACAUAUACAUAUGAAUAUGUAUAUACAUAUAUAGUUUGUGGGUUUUAAUAUAAAGUGGACCCAUUUAAAUUUUAAUUGGGCCAAAAAUGUGGUUUGAAAGUGGAUGUAUGAGAGAGUGGGCCAAAGGGAUUGGAACCAAUAUUUAAUUUGGAAUUGGGUUUUGUUGAUUUGGGCCAACAAACCUCAAGGGCCGGCAAGUAAGGGCAUUUGUGUCAUUUUUAUAUUUUGACCUAAAUACAAUUAAUGUUAGGAUUUAUUUUAUUUUGUUUGUUAGAAUAGUCUUCUUCUUCCCUUCUCCUUCUCUCUCUAGAGUUUGAGCCAAAUAGGGUUAGCAGUGAAGUUUAGAUCUAGUGUGUAGGGGUGAAUCUUUGAUAGUGAUCAUUUGGGAGAAUAUCAUCUACACAACUAAGGGCUACUUAAUUGAGCCAAGAAAGUUUGAAAUCGGAACUAGUGGAUUGUGAGGCUUGUACUCACUCACUUUCACCAUUUUUGAGCUUUUAUUGGCUUGGAUUGAGGUAAAGGGGGUUUCCUUGUGGGGUUUAAUCUUGGGUUUGUUGUUAAGGGCUUAUAUAAAUCUAUUAAAAAGUAUUAUUUUGGGUAUAGAACCCUAGAAGAAGACUUGGUUUAGAUUAAAAAUGAGAAGUUGUGAAAUAUGGGGCGAUGGUGUUUGUUGUCGACCCUAGGAAGUUGGGGUGUCGACACCUUUGAUAUGAAAAAUUUGAGAAAUCUGGACACUGAUAGUUGGUGUCGACCUAGGAAGUUGGUGUCGACCACCUUUGAAAGGCGAAUGUGAGAAAAUUUGUUCCUGAUUGUUGGUGUCGAUCCUGGUGUCCUCACUUGAAUAGUGAAAAUUCAUAUUUUGGCCUACUGACAUUUGGUGCUGGACACUGGUGUCGACACCUUGACAAAAAUUUAGAAAUUUUUUGGCUACUUACUUUUUGGUGUCGACACCAGUUUUCCGGUGUCUACACCCAAAUUUUUUGAACAGUAAAAAAAAAAAAAAAUUUUUAUUAAGAAGCAAGGACUAUAAUUGUAUAAUAAGUGUUGUCAUUAAUUUUUGAUAAUGUAAUUUUGUGUAUUUGAAAUUUGAAAUUUUUUGUUGGAGAAUGAGUUGGAUAAAUUUUUACAUAAAUAUGUUUCAAUGGUUUCAAUGAUAGUUUAAAUUGAUAGAAUUGGAAAUUGCCAUAUUAUGUUGAAGCAUUGUGGCCUUGGGCCAAUGCAAUCUUGUUGAGUAAAUUGUUUAAGAAUGGUUUUAUGUAAAUGAUUGUGAGAAUGAUUUAGGGAACUGAAGUUUUGAGAAUGGUUGAUUGAAAUAGUUUUGAGAAUGAUUUGACGGAAAUGGUUUUGAGAAAGGUUAACGUGUGGAAAUAGUUUUGAGAAUGACACGCUAGGAUUACCGGGAAAAUCCACGGGAGGCAAAUAGCGAUCGUGUGUACAGUGGGUAGUCAAACCUUCGGUGAAAGAGUUCCGAAAAGGUAGGCCGAUAUUGGGUAAGUAAUACUUCUUGAAAGUCCGAAAAUAAAGUCCUAGAUGGCAUAUAUGGGUAUGUAACGCCUUCGUGAAAGCCCUAGAAUAAAGUCCGAUAUGGCAAAUGCUCAAUAUAGGGAUAUCGACCUUUUCUGAAAGUCCGAUGAAUCGAAUGUGUAUGGGAUAUCGACCCUUUCGUGAAAGUUCGAGGAAUCGAUUGUGUAUAGGGAUAUCGCCGCCUUUUCGUUGAAAGUCCGAGGAAUGCGAUUGUAUAGAGGGAAUUCAUAGUCCCACGGUGAAAGUCUUGGGAAUUGACUAUACGUUGUCUCAAUGCUAGCGCAUGAUGAUGUUUGAUAGGUGUUAGCCUAGUUGGUCAUCAGUUAUUGGAUAUUUACCUUUUUGGAAAAAAUACAUGAAUUUUAGAAUUUGAUAAAUUCUAAAGAAUGAAUUAGUGCUUUUCGAGAAAAGCCCAUGGUUGGUGAAAUCAUUGAUUUGAUAAUCAUGAAUUUUGAAUGGUAAAAUCUUGUUUAUAGUGAUGAUGUUUAGAGAAAAGCCGGAUGUUUGUGAAAAUCCGGAGUGAAAAUCAAAGUAUAUUUUGAUAUGAAUGAAAGCAUAUUUGUUGGAUCAUUUUUCAUUGUAUAGAUCUGUGAUCAUGGUUUUGGCUUUGAGAACGAUCAAGUCCCAUUGUUUAAAUCUUUCAGGUAACUCAAAACCACCUUUACAAAAUGAAUUUUCAUGUACAUAGGGUUAAUCAUGAUUUCGUGAGGUCAUUUUGAUUGCCAUUCUUAUCUUUUGUCUAGAAAUAUGUCAAUUUAUUUUUGGGAGUUGUAAUUAGUGUUAAAGCCCGGUGUGGGCAUUGUCUAUGGAUUAUCAUCCUAUUUUGUAUUUGUAUGCUCCGGAGAGUUAUGGUCCCACUGGGGUAGAUGUACAGGUACUCUAAUGUACAGACAACGUUUGUCAGAUAGUUAGUUUGGACUUUUCCGCAUUUUAGUUGUUUGCUCACGUGGCCCAGGUCCUUGGUUGACGGGGUGUGACAUUCCUGGACUACAGCAGUCGAACACUUGGUAUGCUAAUUAGCUGGCCAAACUUUUGAUGAUAGGCCAAAUCUUGCUUUGAUACCACUUGUAAAGCCUAGUCCAUCUUUCUCCUUAAGACUUACAUAUCAAGGAGAGGGGAACAUGAGCCUUAUAUACAGCAUAGAAAAGCUAAAAUUGGGCAAUGUGAGACAUUUCAACAGAUACAAUCAGACUUUCGUGUUAAAAAUCACCAUUAUUUUGUGGUGACAUAAGACUACUGUGGGGUGUGGGUUUAUGAGAUGAGAGAAAGAAAAUCGAGGAUAAACACCUGCAGUGGCUCUGCGGCAUAGUAAAACUAAUGCAGUCAAUCAACAGUCGAAGAAGAAAGGCUAACAGUCGAAGAUGCGCCUAGUUGCACAACAGAAAUAAUGAGAAAAACCGCUGGAGCUGUUUUAGGGAAACGACUCUCCGACGAUCAAAUUAGAUGAUCGAAAUAUAUAUAUAUAUAUAUAUAUAAUAGUAGAUAGAUAGAUAGAUAGAUAGAGUGUAUAUAUGUUUCACUAGAGUGAAUUCGCAUACCUUUAAAAAGAAGAAAGGCUAACUUUAUGUGGCAUAGGUCGGUGCGUGCCUUGAUGCGCUAGCUCUCUUGUCAUUGAACAGGCUACAGCUCGGCGCGUGCUCGUACGCGCCGACCGCUGUGCCAGUGAAUAGACGGCUGACUCAGCCACGCUCCUAGGGCCUGGUUGGUAGCAUAUCAUUAACUGUUGACGUCCUCAUCCAAGCAUGGUGGCUGUCAGAAGAAACUUCGUCGUGUAAGUUACCUUUUAUCUCUGACAUGCUUUGGGAUAGUCAUCGACCGUUGCCCCUCGUCCAAACUCCGGCACGGUUACUCCACCAAGCUUACUAAAUAGCAACAGUUCGGGAGUAAUAGUGGCCUUAACUCGGACAGUGCCUGUGUUCGGUGGUAGGGCGGAGCCAGGAUUUUAGGUUAGAGGGGCUAAAGUGUAAAAAAAAAAUUUAAUAUAUUUCAGGAGGCUAAAGUGUAAAACAAAAAUUUUAAUAUAUUUUAGGGGGGCUAAAGUGUAAAAAAAAAAUUGUAAAACAAAUAUUGUAAUAUUUUGGAAGUCAGGUGAGGCUACAGCCUCUCCUGGUCAUGCUGUAGCACCGCCCCUGUUCGGUGGUGUCUCGACUGAGCUUCGGCACAUAGGUAAUCGAGCUGGCUUCAUAGUGAUAGUUUGGUGGCCGUGCCCACACUAGUAAGACCAAUCCAUAAUUGUAUAUUUUAUGACUUACAACUUCCACCCCAGUAACUGAUAGCUACCGAAACUCAUUUGUCUAUAAAGAAACUCACAUACUUACCAGGGACCGACUACAUCUCUCUCUCUCUCUCUCCUCUCAGGAACCACAAACCUCCACUCCGCCUGCGUGUGCAGCCCCGGCAUGGCACCUCAGCCCGUCCUGGAGCUCGGCAAACGCCUCCUUACAAAUCAAUCACAUCCCUUCACGUCACCAUCCUCGUCGUCACCACCCGCAUCAUCCUGACAAGCCCAUCUCCUCCUCCAGACCAACACCGCCCAACCCAACCCAACAUCAUCGAGCUCACCACCGGUCGACAUCUUUCCCCUUUCGCCUAAUCCCCCCCACCACCCAAGUCUUCACCCAGCUCUCCACAUCAUGCGCGAGGCCCGGCCCUCCAUACGGUCCGCCCUCUUCAACAUGACGCCCCAGCCCACAAUAUUCAUUACCGACUUUUCGGAACUGAAUCUUUUGAAAUCGCAGAGGAUCUGUUCGAUCCCCAAGUACACAUACGUCCCUAGUCAGCUAGCACGGCUGGUUCACCGCUCUGGCCUCGUUACUCCCCGUGCUCGAUAAGGAGAUCGCGGGUCAGUACGUUGACCGGACCGAGCCGCUAAGAAUUCCGGGCUGCAAGGCCAGUCCCACCGGAGGACGUGGUCGACCCCACUGGACCGGACUGACCAGCAGUACUACGAAUACCUAAGGAUGGGGGUCGGAUUUUCUCUCUCCAAUGGGAAUUUUAGGAACACGUGGGAAGAUCUAGAGCUUAAAUCACUGGAAGCGUUGAGGGCGAUGAAAUUUUAAAAAUCCGGUUUAUGCUAUUGGCCCGUUUACCAAAGCCAGUUGAACGGACGGUGUAAGUACGGAGUUGUUGAGUGGCUCGCGGAUCAACCGGUGAGUCACGUAUAUUGUCUCCUUCGGACAGUGGCGGGACGUUGUCUGCUGAGCAAAUAAUGAACUGGAUUGGGGGUUAGAAACUGAGUCAGAAGAGAUUAUUGGGGUGGUGGCGCCCGCCAAUAGAAUGGCCUGUAGACGCGCCUUUUUUAAAUAUCAGACGCCAGAGACAUCCCAAAGAUUCAACUUCCUGACUGAGGCUUCUUGGCUAGGACAUAAGGUGGGCAUGGUAGGCACCCAUGUGGGCCCCACCCAAUGAGGAUUCUGAGCCACAUCGGUGGGGGCUUUGGUCUCAUUGUGGGUGGAAUCGACUCUGGAGAGCCUGGACCCCACGGCGUGCGAUGCUAGCAUGGCCGCUUAUGCAGAGCAAAGGAUGAACGCCGUGGUGCUCAGGAGAGUUGGGGGUCGCCGUUGCGGACGGAGGUCUUGCCGCGAGAAGGUGGUGGAGGAGGAGAUUGAGAAGUUGGUUAGGAGUGUGAUGGAAGAAGGGGGGAAGGGGAUGACGGAGAGAGCUCUAAAGAGGUGAAGAGGAGUGGUAAGAAUGCCCGAGAAAGAUGGUCGUCUACACUCUUUGUGCGAGUGCUCAGGAGAUUGUCAGAAUCUCUUAAACUCUAAGGAUCCUAGUACCAGCACAAAUAUUUAGAUGCCUCGUCUCGAAAUUUACCCAAUAAUGGAAGCAUAGGGUGUUUACAAUAUGGUGUAAGUCGGCACUCAAAAUAAAUAUGUUCAUAUUUUUGCGUAAAUCUCUUGGUAAGUUUUCUGAAUAUGCAUUACUAGGUAAAAUGCAUUAAAUUUAACUCACUUCAGGAUUGCACGAAACAUAUUAGAAACAUACUUUAUAUAUAUUUAAAGUUCAACACAAGAAUAGAUAUAUAAUACAUAUAUGGGUGGGAGUCGAACUCCGAACCAAAUGCUUCAUGAGGCCCUUGAUUGCCACGUCGUAACAACUCGGGUUUUGUGUUUAGUUAAAUGGUUGGUUUUGUCAGUGGUUUUACAU
rnacentral:lncRNA from 1 species